ensembl:lncRNA
GUCCGACUUGUUCUGCUGGCCGGUUUGUUUUUGCGUUAAAGGUGAAGUGUGUCAUUUAUGAGUCACUAGCGACACCAGAUGAAAUAACAAUUUUUUUUUAAUCACUGAAUGUAGCAUUCCCACUAUGAUGUUAGUUUGUUGCAGGCAUUGCUAUGCAGUUGCUAAGGUGCUUGGAGCUAUUUUCUUCCCUAUGUUGCUAUGGGGUUGCUAGGGUGUUUUGGGUGGUUACCAGGGCAUUCUGAGUUGUUAUGGGUUGCUAUGGUGUUCUGGGUGGUUGCCAUGGCAGUACUAACAUAUUGUGGGUUGCUAGGGUGUUUUGGGUGGUUACCAGGGCAUUCUGAGUUGUUAUGGGUUGCUAGGGUGUUUUGGAUUGUUGCUACACCAUUACAUGUGUACUACUAGGGAUUUUUAGCAUGUUGCUAUGGGGUUGCUAUGGUGUUGUGGGUAGUUACCAGGGGAUUACUAACAUAUUCUGAGUUUCUAUGAGGUUGCUAUGGUGUUGUGGGUGGUUGCCAUGGCAUUACUAACAUAUUCUGAGUUGCUAUGGAGUUGCUAGGGUGUUGUGGGUGGUUGCCAGGGCAUUACUAACAUAUUGUGAGUGGCUAUGGAGUUGUUAGGGUGUUGUGGGUGGUUGCCAUGGCAUUACUAACAUAUUGUGGGUUGCUAGGGUGUUGUGGGUGGUUGCCAGGGCAUUACUAACAUAUUGUGAGUGGCUAUGGAGUUGCUAGGGUGUUCUGGGUGGUUGCUAGGGCAUUGCUAAUGUAUUCUGAGUGAUUUUAAUGUGUUGCUAUGAGGUGGUUAGGGUGUUGUGGGUGGUUGCCAGGGCAUCACUAACACCCUAGCAACCCCAUAGAAACUUAGAACAUGUUAGUAAUACAGAAUACAUUAGUAGCCUAAUGCCCUUCACUAAAAUUUCAAGGCUUCUGUUUUUCAUUGUUUUUCCCGCUUUUACAGGUUGCCGAUUCCAAUAUUCUUUGAGCUGUGAUGUUUUUAUGGAGACAUGUCCACCUGUCAGAUGGGAAGAUAUUUCAUCAAAGAGACCCAACGGCUCACAUGUGUGCCACAGAAGGCCGAACAAUGUUGUUUAUUACGUGUGAAUGACAGGAUGUGCAAACAGUGGUAAAAUGCCCAGAGUUUUCCGAUGCCUUUGAUGUGGUUCCCACAAUGCUGCACCAUUCCUCUCAACUUUAAAGCCUCCUUAAGCACACAACUUGACGCUUGACAGGACAGCAGUGUACACAAACUCUCAGACACUCGCUUUGAAUGAGCUGCCGGGAGCGGGAGCCAAAAGCCUUGGAAAGUUCCAGGAUGUUCCCAAAGCGCCGACCUGUUUCUUCCUGUUUCUGAGCAGAGUUUCUCCUCUCCUCUGUCGCACAGCACAUGGCUCUCGGUCAUCAGCAUUGCUCAGAGUGUUUACACAGGGCCUGAUUUAAUAUGAUGAAGCAUGCAGUGCUGAUCCAAACAAUAGCUGAUUAUGUGACUCAUAAACUCUUGCGCCGUUCUCCUAGGGUUUAACAAAAACAUCACGCAAAUCACUGACACGAACAUGCAUAUGAUAUAAAGUUUAUCAGGAGCCAAGACUCAAAGUACUUCUGAUUAAUGUCUUUUGAAGCAAACAUCAGCAUUCGGGUUUCUUGAGAAUGCAAAAC